AAGCUGCAAUUAUACUUCAGUUUCUGCGUCCAUUCAUGGCGGGUGAUGUGCCGAUCCUUUCCGCUGCCAAGGGGUAGAUGUACGUCUAUAUAUUCUUCCUUCCCUAUCACUCUUCGCUCACCCUUUCCACUCCGGCAUCACACCAUUCAGCAAGAUGCUCGGGUAGGUUUCCCUAAAUUUCUUUCAGUUCGUGUAUGAUUCAAUGUUGCACCAACCAAAUACACGCAUGUACAUAUAUAUAUGCUUCCUCCCCUGCAGCACAAUAUCCAUCAGCAAGUUGCUUCGCUAGGUGUGGUUCACAUUGACCAUGGUCAAUUCAUCUGGGCAGAUCUUGGAGAAUGAUACUUGUUUCUGUUACUUUGGAAAUUCUUCGGCUCGUAAUAUCCAAUGGCUUGUGGAUAAGUAAUUACUUCAACUAUACUGCCAGAUCUUAUCCUUCCAUGUUUUUAGAACACUAAUUGUUUAGAAUUAUGUUUAUGUGUUUUUCAUAUCCUGGUGCUACCUUCUGUUGUAUGACAUUUUCACACAAUUUAUUUGGAGAAGACUAUAAGAGAAUUCAUACUAUUUUAAUUACAGGACAAAUUGAUAAUAGGUUGUUCAUAGUCUGACCAAGCUGGCACUAUUGAGUAUUGAUGCAUCAGUUCACAAGAAAUUUCUUUAAAAUGGAAUUCUCUGCAAGGGUUUGUUGGUUGGGUCUAUCGUUAUUCUCAAGUAGCUGAGGAUAUAUGUUAUUUGUGAAAAAAAUGAGUUGCUACCAUUGUUGAACUACUCUGCUACCUGUCAAGAAAUUGGUCUAACUGUUGAAGAUAUUGUCCAUUUUAGCUGCCUGCUGUUCAUACAUCUCGCACUCUGUUAUUGUAACGUAGAAAAACUGUUGAAAAAGGAAUUAUUCAUAAACUUUAAUGUUUUGCACUGUAGAAUCUUGCUUCGCAGUUAUUUCAGACACAUUCAUUUGAUCCCCCAACUAAUAUUUAUAUUUCUAUUUGUACCUUUUACUUUCAAGAAAUUAACUUGACCAACUCUGGCUGAAGCUAUACAUUGAUGCCAGUUUUAUUAGUGAAACAUGCCUCUGUGUGUGUGUGUGUGUGUGUGUUUGUCGCCACAUUCAGAGCUACAAAGAAGAAGUCUCCGGAAGCAAUAGCUUGCAUGGAAGAAGGAGGUGUGUGUGUGUGUGUGUGUGUGUGUGUGUGUGUCGCCACAUUCAGAGCUACAAAGAAGAAGUCUCCGGAAGCAAUAGCUUGCAUGGAAGAAGGAGUCUGGCGUUGUCUGUUUCAUGCCGACCAGUGAUCUCCGGAAGAGAUUGAGAUGUUGUCGAGGAUCUGAAAAUGUAUGGACCAGCAGAUGUUCAGUUGAAAGGGUGAUUAAAAGAAAACAAGACAACUAAGGCUACUACCAGGCUAAGGGUGGUGCAGAUUAUUAACAUAGAAAGUAAUGAAAAUGCGCACAUUCUGGUUUAGUAGAGACUAGAGAGGUGUUGAGUGUGGUGUUUGCAAGAUCUCCAGCCUACAUGUUGAGAGUUACAUCACACAAUUGUAAUGCUACCUCUUAACCUUGACUAAUAUACACCUAUUUUAUUAUCCA